UGAACGCUGGCGGCGUGCUUAACACAUGCAAGUCGAACGGUAACAGAAGCAGCUUGCUGCUUGCUGACGAGUGGCGCACGGGUGAGUAAUAUAUAGAUAAUGUGCCUCUUAGUCUGGGAUAGCCAUUGGAAACGAUGAUUAAUACUGGAUACUCCUUCUUAUUCUAAUAUAAGUUGGGAAAGUUUUUCGCUAAGAGAUCAGUCUAUAUCCCAUCAGUUAGUUGGUAGGGUAAUGGCCUACCAAGGCAAUGACGGGUAGCGGGUUUGAGAGGAUGAUCCGCCACACUGGUACUGAGACACGGACCAGACUCCUACGGGAGGCAGCAGUGAGGAAUAUUGCACAAUGGGGGAAACCCUGAUGCAGCAACGCCGCGUGGAGGAUGACGCAUUUCGGUGUGUAAACUCCUUUUAUAUGUCAAGAAAAUGACGGUAGCAUAUGAAUAAGCACCGGCUAACUCC
rnacentral:rRNA from 1 species